GGAGAUAUAGUUCAGUGGUAGAGCAUUCGACUGCAGAUCGAGAGGUCUCCGGUUCAAACCCGAAUGCUUCCU